GACGGUUUGGCCGAGUGGUCUAAGGCGUUGGAUUUAGGCUCCAAUCCGAAAGGGCGUGGGUUCAAAUCCCACAGCCGUCA
rfam:Selaginella moellendorffii unplaced genomic scaffold SELMOscaffold_86, whole genome shotgun sequence.